GGCGAGGUGGCCGAGUGGUUAUGGCGCUAGUUUCAGGCAAACCUGAUAAAUUGUGCUGAAGUGGAAUUACAAUCAACUAUAUUACUAGUGGAGCAAUCCUCGUGGGUUCGAGUCCCACCCUCGUCA